UUGGCGGUAUUUUAGUCUUUUCAGAGGAACCUGUUCUGUAAUUGAUAUUCCACGAUGUAUUAUACUUUUAUUAUAAAUUUACAUAUCGUUGUUAAAAAAUAUUUUUUAAGAAAUUAAUAUUGGGGAUUUAAAUUAUAAAAUAAAUCAAAUCAAGAUGUAGUUGAUAUAAAGGUAGAAAUGGGUUACAUUAUUAAAAUUUAGUAUGAUGAUUAAUUGAAAAUUAGUUUGAUUUUGGAUUUGAAAGUAAUUUUGUAUAAGUUAUACAGGGUGAUUUUAGCUCUAGGAUAUGUACAUAUUGCCCGUCACUUUCACUUCAAGGUGAAAUAAGUCGUAACAAAGUAGAGGUACUGGAAAGUGCCUCUAGAAAGACAGGCUAAAGCUUAGAGAAGUAUUUUAUUUACAUUAAAAAGAAAGUUGUUAAAUCAAUUUAGCUUGAUUUAGAAGGGCUUAUUAUUAAUUUAUUUGUGCAGAUUUUAACAUAAGAAAAUUUUUGUUUGAUUAUUUAUUAAGAAAAAAUUUAAUUAAUUAUAGUUUAAUAGUAUUGUGAGAGAAAAAUAUUAAAUUGUAAAAGGAGAAUAAUUUUGUACCUUGUGUCUCAGGGUUUAUUAAUUAGUUUAGAAAAAUUUCGGAUUCUCGAAUUAAAAUGAGCGAAGUAUAUAUAUAUAUUAUUGUAGAAAAAAUAUAUAUAAUAUAAACUUAGAGAUGAAAUGUUAAUCGUAUUUUAUAUAUCUAGUUUCAAAAGAAAAAAAUUUAAUUUUUUUGGAUUUAAAGUUAUUUUAAAUAGUAAAUUUUAUUUUAGAUUUAGGUUAUAAAUUUAGGGAUGAGCUUAAAUUUAAAUUGUUAUAAUUUUUAAAUUUAUAUUUUUAUAUAGGAUUAGAAUUUUUCAUUAUUGGAAGUGAGUUAUAUUUUAAAAAUAUUAAUAUAUGAUUUAUAUUUAGGGAUUUAAUUAGUUUAUUUUGAUAAUUAAUUAAAUUAUUUAAUUUAGUCAAUAAUGAUAGGAUUAGUAUAAUAAAGGAAUAUAUUUCAGGUAAUUUAAAGGAACUCGGCAAAUAGAUUUUUCACCUGUUUAUUAAAAACAUGUCUUUUUGAGAAUAAUUUAAAGUCGUCCCUGCCCACUGAUAUUUUAAAUGGCCGCGGUAUUUUGACCGUGCAAAGGUAGCAUAAUCAUUAGUUUUUUAAUUGAAAGCUGGAAUGAAAGGGUUGAUGAAAAGAUUUCUGUCUCUAAGUUAAUUUAUUAGAAUUUUAUUUUUAAGUGAAAAAGCUUAAAUAUUUUUAAAAGACGAUAAGACCCUAUAGAGCUUUAUA
rnacentral:rRNA from 1 species